CAGUAGCCACGGUAAUACGAAGGGUGCAAGCGUUAAUCGGAAUUACUGGGCGUAAAGCGUGCGUAGGCGGUUUGUUAAGUCUGUUGUGAAAUCCCCGGGCUCAACCUGGGAAUGGCAAUGGAUACUGGCAAGCUAGAGUGUGUCAGAGGAUGGUGGAAUUCCCGGUGUAGCGGUGAAAUGCGUAGAGAUCGGGAGGAACAUCAGUGGCGAAGGCGGCCAUCUGGGACAACACUGACGCUGAGGCACGAAAGCGUGGGGAGCAAACAGGAUUAGAUACCCCAGUAGUCCCUGUCUCUUAUAA
rnacentral:rRNA from 1 species